rnacentral:rRNA from 1 species
GUAGGUGGCAAGCGUUGUCCGGAAUUAUUGGGCGUAAAGCGCGCGCAGGCGGUUCUUUAAGUCUGAUGUGAAAGCCCACGGCUCAACCGUGGAGGGUCAUUGGAAACUGGAGAACUUGAGUACAGAAGAGGAAAGCGGAAUUCCACGUGUAGCGGUGAAAUGCGUAGAGAUGUGGAGGAACACCAGUGGCGAAGGCGGCUUUCUGGUCUGUAACUGACGCUGAGGCGCGAAAGCGUGGGGAGCAAACAGGGAUUAGAUACCCUGGUAGUCCACGCCGUAAACGAUGAGUGCUAAUGUUAGGGGGUUUCCGCCCCCCUUAGUGCUGCAGCUAACGCAUUAAGCACUCCGCCCUGGGGAGUACGGCCGCAAGGCUG